rnacentral:rRNA from 1 species
GACGAACGCUGGCGGCGUGCUUAACACAUGCAAGUCGAACGGAAAGGCCCUGCUUUUGUGGGGUGCUCGAGUGGCGAACGGGUGAGUAACACGUGAGUAACCUGCCCUUGACUUUGGGAUAACUUCAGGAAACUGGGGCUAAUACCGGAUAGGAGCUCCUGCUGCAUGGUGGGGGUUGGAAAGUUUCGGCGGUUGGGGAUGGACUCGCGGCUUAUCAGCUUGUUGGUGGGGUAGUGGCUUACCAGGGCUUUGACGGGUAGCCGGCCUGAGAGGGUGACCGGCCACAUGGGGACUGAGAGACGGCCCAGACGCCUACGGGAGGCAGCAGUGGGGAAUAUGGCACAAUGGGCGGAAGCCUGAUGCAGAAACGCCGCGUGCGGGAUGACGGCCUUCGGGUUGUAAACCGCUUUCGCCUGUGACGAAGCGUGAGUGACGGUAAUGGGUAAAGAAGCACCGGCGAACUACGU